CUCAGUUCGGACUGUAGGCUGCAACUCGCCUACACGAAGUUGGAAUUGCUAGUAAUCGUGGAUCAGCAUGCCACGGUGAAUACGUUCCCGGGUCUUGUACACACCGCCCGUCACACCAUGGGAGCUGGUAACACCCGAAGUCAGUAGUCUAACCGCAAGGAGGACGCUGCCGAAGGUGGGAUUAGCGACUGGGGUGAAGUCGUAACAAGGUAGC
rnacentral:rRNA from 1 species